UGUUGCCUGCGGGACUCGUGAUAUGGAUUGCAGAAAAGCUACUGGAAUAACGGGAACCGAGCCAUGGGUGGCGUGCAAGCCGGCCAGUUCCGGAUCCAUAAAGCUCAAAAGGUAGGUGCCCACCUUGAUGCUUGGCUUUAUCGGACAAGCAUACACGGUCCACGCGGGCUUUUA
rnacentral:other from 1 species